rnacentral:rRNA from 1 species
GCGGCAUGCUUAACACAUGCAAGUCGAACGGAAACGAUGGAAGCUUGCUUCCAGGCGUCGAGUGGCGGACGGGUGAGUAAUGCUUGGGAAUCUGCCUAAUAGUGGGGAACAACUCGGGGAAACUCGGGCUAAUACCGCAUAAUCUCUUCGGAGGAAAGGGGGCCUCUACAUGUAAGCUCUCGCUAAUAGAUGAGCCCAAGUCAGAUUAGCUUGUUGGUAAGGUAACGGCUUACCAAGGCUACGAUCUGUAGCUGGUCUGAGAGGAUGAUCAGCCACACUGGGACUGAGACACGGCCCAGACUCCUACGGGAGGCAGCAGUGGGGAAUAUUGCACAAUGGGCGAAAGCCUGAUGCAGCAAUGCCGCGUGUGUGAAGAAGGCUCUAGGGUUGUAAAGCACUUUCAAUAAGGAAGAAAAGCAUAAGGCUAAUAACCUUAUUCAUUGACGUAACUUAUACAAGAAGCACCGGCUAAUUCCGUGCCAGCAGCCGCGGUAAUACGGAAGGUGCAAGCGUUAAUCGGAAUUACUGGGCGUAAAGCGCGCGUAGGCUGUUAUCUAAGUCGGAUGUGAAAUCCUCGGGCUCAACCUGGGAACUGCAUCCGAAACUGAAUAACUAGAGUAUGGGAGAGGUAAGUAGAAUUUCCGGUGUAGCGGUGAAAUGCGUAGAUAUCGGAAGGAAUACCAGUGGCGAAGGCGGCUUACUGGACCAAUACUGACGCUGAGGUGCGAAAGCGUGGGGAGCGAACAGGAUUAGAUACCCUGGUAGUCCACGCCGUAAACGAUGAGAACUAGAUGUUGGGAGGGUUAGCCUCUCAGUGUCGCAGCUAACGCAUUAAGUUCUCCGCC